AGGCUUAACACAUGCAAGUCGAGCGCCCCGCAAGGGGAGCGGCAGACGGGUGAGUAACGCGUGGGAACGUACCCUUUACUACGGAAUAACGCAGGGAAACUUGUGCUAAUACCGUAUGUGCCCUUUGGGGGAAAGAUUUAUCGGUAAAGGAUCGGCCCGCGUUGGAUUAGCUAGUUGGUGGGGUAAAGGCCUACCAAGGCGACGAUCCAUAGCUGGUCUGAGAGGAUGAUCAGCCACAUUGGGACUGAGACACGGCCCAAACUCCUACGGGAGGCAGCAGUGGGGAAUAUUGGACAAUGGGCGCAAGCCUGAUCCAGCCAUGCCGCGUGAGUGAUGAAGGCCCUAGGGUUGUAAAGCUCUUUCACCGGAGAAGAUAAUGACGGUAUCCGGAGAAGAAGCCCCGGCUAACUUCGUGCCAGCAGCCGCGGUAAUACGAAGGGGGCUAGCGUUGUUCGGAAUUACUGGGCGUAAAGCGCACGUAGGCGGAUCGAUCAGUCAGGGGUGAAAUCCCAGGGCU
rnacentral:rRNA from 1 species